rnacentral:rRNA from 1 species
AGAAUCCUACGGGGCGCAGCAGUGGGGAAUAUUGGGCAAUGGGCGCAAGCCUGACCCAGCAACGCCGCGUGAAGGAAGAAGGCUUUCGGGUUGUAAACUUCUUUUAAGAGGGAAGAGUAGAAGACGGUACCUCUUGAAUAAGCCACGGCUAACUACGUGCCAGCAGCCGCGGUAAUACGUAGGUGGCAAGCGUUGUCCGGAUUUACUGGGUGUAAAGGGCGUGUAGCCGGGUUGACAAGUCAGAUGUGAAAUCCUGCGGCUUAACCGCAGAACUGCAUUUGAAACU